rnacentral:rRNA from 1 species
AACGCGAAGAACCUUACCUGGGCUCGAACGGCUCACGAAAGUCUUUGGAAACAGAGAUUUCCCGCAAGGGACGGGAGUCGAGGUGCUGCAUGGCUGUCGUCAGCUCGUGUCGUGAGAUGUUGGGUUAAGUCCCGCAACGAGCGCAACCCUUGUCCUGUGUUACCAUGCCGAAAGGCGGCACUCGCAGGAGACCGCCAGCGAUAAGCUGGAGGAAGGUGGGGAUGACGUCAAGUCCUCAUGGCCUUUAUGUCCAGGGCUACACACGUGCUACAAUGGGCGGUACAAAGCGCUGCUAAACCGCAAGGUGGAGCCAAUCGCAAAAAGCCGCUCUCAGUUCGGAUUGCAGGCUGCAACUCGCCUGCAUGAAGCUGGAAUCGCUAGUAAUGCUAUAUCAGAACGAUAGCGUGAAUACGUUCCCGGGCCUUGUA